GACGAACCGAGCGAACGUUGUUCGGAAUCACUGGGCUUAAAGGGCGCGUAGGCGGGUGCUCAAGGCCGGGGUGAAAUCCCACAGCUCAACUGUGGAACUGCCUCGGAUACUGGGUGUCUCGAGGGUGGCAGGGGUAUGCGGAACUAUUGGUGGAGCGGUGAAAUGCGUUGAUAUCAAUAGGAACUCCGGUGGCGAAGGCGGCAUACUGGUCCACUUCUGACGCUGAGGCGCGAAAGCCAGGGGAGCAAACGGG
rnacentral:rRNA from 1 species